GGAGAGAUGCCAGAGUGGCCGAUUGGGCAUGCCUGGAAAGCAUGUGUACCUGCAAGGGUACCCAGGGUUCGAAUCCCUGUCUCUCCG
rfam:Bacteroidetes bacterium RIFCSPLOWO2_12_FTLL_37_12 rifcsplowo2_12_scaffold_87, whole genome shotgun sequence.